UCUGCGUCACGCUGCUCGCCCGCGGGCGCCCGCACUUGCACGCACGUCUUGGCGCCGGGUUGCCAGCGGUGUCCGGCUAGCAGUGACCGCCGCGGGGGGUGCAACCGUUGUCCUGAGCCGUCCGCCGCAUCCCGGGUGUGCGGGCAUGCAUGGCUUGUGUCUUUGGGGAGAGCGUCA
rnacentral:rRNA from 1 species